UUUUCGAUUUGUUGUUGCCGUUGUUAGUUGCCCGGUUAGUUUGCUGGCUUGUAGCUGGGGGUCCCAUUUGCUUAAUCUGUCAGCAUCUGGCGUGUAGCAGUUUUUGAUCCUCAUGUGAUAAAUUUUCAUUAAAUUAGAGGGGAGUGUGUUGUUGGCCACCUUUCGUUGCAUGUUGAAGUGGACUUAAAGCAAUGAUGUGUAUCCCCUUUACAUUUCUCUGUAGACAAACUAACUCCGUAUUGCUCAUUCGUUUACGGAAUUUUCAUCCCCUAUUCGGCAGCCUCGUUGUUUAGUAAACUCCGCGAGGUUUUCAUCAACUUUUUGCUCAUUAUCCCAAAACGCGCCCGCGUUUUUUGCCGCGCCAGUUGGAGGCACUUGCCAACUGCGUCUGCCAUUGGCCUGGCAACUAGAAAUCCUGCUGAUUGGACGGAUGAGGUCCUUAGGCGCCAAAUCGGGAACGCUUUUGCUCUGUGGAUGUUGUCUGCGAUUGAAGGAGUUUUACUGCUUAUAUAAUAAUGGGGUAAAGUUUGGUACUUUAAAAUGGUACUCCAACGAAAUGGGGAAUUAUAAUUUAAAAUAUUAAAGACACCUGUUGGUUCUUUAUAUAAA